rnacentral:rRNA from 1 species
GACGAACGCUGGCGGCGUGCUUAACACAUGCAAGUCGAGCGGUAAGGCCCUUUCGGGGGUACACGAGCGGCGAACGGGUGAGUAACACGUGGGUGACCUGCCCUCAGCUCUGGGAUAAGCCUGGGAAACCGGGUCUAAUACCGGAUAUGACUCCAUGACGCAUGUUGUGGGGUGGAAAGCCUUGUGCGGCUGAGGAUGGGCCCGCGGCCUAUCAGCUUGUUGGUGGGGUGAUGGCCUACCAAGGCGACGACGGGUAGCCGGCCUGAGAGGGCGACCGGCCACACUGGGACUGAGACACGGCCCAGACUCCUACGGGAGGCAGCAGUGGGGAAUCUUGCGCAAUGGGCGAAAGCCUGACGCAGCGACGCGCGUGAGGGAUGACGGCCUGUGUAAC